rnacentral:pre_miRNA from 1 species
GCUCGCGAAAUUCACAACUACAACGAAUGGCGUUUGUGCGUAGAAUCAUACCUGCAAAGACAAAACCUCUGGGAGGUAUUAGCGCCGUGGGACAAUACCUUUGCAAGGACAAGACCUCUUGGAGGUAGAAACAUGACCUUGUAGGUAUGAUUCCACGCACGAACGCCAUUCGUUUUGACGGC